rnacentral:rRNA from 1 species
AGCGAACGCUGGCGGCAGGCCUAACACACGCAAGUCGAACGAACCCUUCGGGGUUAGUGGCGGACGGGUGAGUAACACGUGGGAACGUGCCUUUAGGUUCGGAAUAACUCAGGGAAACUUGUGCUAAUACCGAAUGUGCCCUUCGGGGGAAAGAUUUAUCGCCUUUAGAGCGGCCCGCGUCUGAUUAGCUAGUUGGUGAGGUAAUGGCUCACCAAGGCUACGAUCAGUAGCUGGUCUGAGAGGAUGACCAGCCACAUUGGGACUGAGACACGGCGCAAACUCCUACGGGAGGCAGCAGUGGGGAAUCUUGCGCAAUGGGCGAAAGCCUGACGCAGCCAUGCCGCGUGGAUGAUGAAGGUCUUAGGAUUGUAAAAUCCUUUCACCGGUGAAGAUAAUGACUGUAGCCGGAGAAGAAGCCCCGGCUAACUUCGUGCCAGCCGCCGCCGUAAGAC